CCGCACGAGCGCACCCUUAUCCUUAGUUGCCAGCACGUAAUGGUGGGAACUCUAACGAGACUGCCGGUGACAAACCGGAGGAAGGUGGGGACGACGUCNAGUCAUCAUGGCCCUUACGAGAUGGGCUACACACGUGCUACAAUGGCAAGUACAAAGGGUUGCAAACUCGCGAGAGUAAGCGGAUCCCAUAAAGCUUGUCGUAGUCCGGAUUGGAGUCUGCAACUCGACUCCAUGAAGUCGGAAUCGCUAGUAAUCGUGGAUCAGAAUGCCACGGUGAAUACGUUCCCGGGCCUUGUACACACCGCCCGUCACACCAUGGGAGUGGGCUGCAAAAGAAGUGGAUAGCUUAACCUUCGGGAGGGCGUUCACCACUUUGUGGUUCAUGACUGGGGUGAAGUCGUAACAAGGUAGCCGUAGGGGAACCUGCGGCUGGAUCACCUCCUU
rnacentral:rRNA from 1 species